rnacentral:misc_RNA from 1 species
GGAUGGAUCAUUCCUGAAUUUAUUCAAUACCAACCUUCGAACUUAUUCGUUACUUACCUAAAUAUCUCAACGUUCAAACUAAUUUAAAAACUCUUAACGAUGGAUGACUCGACUCUCGCAACGAGGAAGGACGCAGCAAACCGCGAUAAGCAGUAUGACUUGCGUACACUCGUGAAUCACCAGAUUUCUGAACGCAUUUGUACUCCUGACUUCGGUCUCGAGUAUACUUGGUUCGGUAUCAUUUCGAUUUGCCACGAUGAAUAAUAAACGAAAGUCUUAACUAUAGUCAAAUUAUUCGGUGGCGUUUAGAGCUCUCUUCCACUAGUUGGAACGUUAGCUGUCAGCUGAAUACUCUGAUACAUUUCUGCAAUAACAGUUGAAUUACCAUUAGUUGCAAGACUUGUAUUACAAAGAGUUUUCUAUUAAAUCAUUGAUCCGAACUCAAGUAAGGCUACCCGCUGAAUUUAAGCAUAUAAUUAAGCGGAGGAAUAGAAACCAACAGGGAUUCCCUUAAUAGCGGCGAGCGAAAAGGGAUCAGCCCGAGAUGCGAAUCGGUGUAGCCUCGCGUUGCACCGAGUUGUACAUCAUGGUCUUCACCAGUAAGUUUUCUUGUCUAAGGUGCCUGGAAAGGCAUGCCAGAGAAGGUGAUAGCCCUGUCUUUGAUAAGAAAAACUUGCGUACGGUGUUGGUCGACUGAGUCACGCUCUUUGGGAGUAGAGCGCAAAUAGGGUGGUAACCUCCAUCCAUGGCUAAAUACUGGCGAGAGAUCGAUAGCAAACAAGUACCCUGAGGGAAAGUUGAAAAGCACUUCGAAAGGAGAGUUAAAAGACCUGAAAUCGUUAAGGGGGAAGCGAGUGACCGUGACCCAAAGGAAAGCUCCUGAGCCAAUAUUCGUUUUUGAUUUGACUUUGGGUAAAACCUUUGUUGAAGUAGAAACAACUUUAUUGAUCAAAGGACUUUGCUAUCUGACAUCACUUCUGAUUUCUUUGAUUGAUUUCUUUGAGAAUGGGAGUGACGCUGACCAGCUUGCUGUAAGUUGUCAGAAGAGGCACGUUUACACGACCCGUCUUGAAACACGGACCAAGGAGUUAGACAUAUGUGCGAGUGUAAGGGUGGCAAACUCAUACGCAAAGUGAAAGCGACAGCUGUGAAUACAAAUGCAACAGCGGCCGACUCUUGAAGUUCGAGCUUGAGCAUAUCUGUUUAGACCCGAAAGAUGGUGACCUAUACCUGAGUUGAGUGAAGCCAGGGGAAACCCUGGUGGAAGCUCGUAGCGAUACUGACGUGCAAAUCGUUCGUCAAACUUGGGCAUAGGGGCGAAAGACUAAUCGAACCAUCUAGUAGCUGGUUCCCUC